UACGUAGGGCGCAAGCGUUAUCCGGAAUUAUUGGGCGUAAAGAGCGUGUAGGCGGUCCGGUAAGUCAGCUGUGAAAGUCAAGGGCUCAACCCUUGAAUGCCGGUUGAUACUGUCGGGCUAGAGUCCGGAAGAGGCGAGUGGAAUUCCCGGUGUAGCGGUGAAAUGCGCAGAUAUCGGGAGGAACACCAAUGGCGAAGGCAGCUCGCUGGGACGGUACUGACGCUGAGACGCGAAAGCGUGGGAGCGAACAGG
rnacentral:rRNA from 1 species